rnacentral:rRNA from 1 species
GGCUUUGUUUGCGCAGGAUAGGUGGGAGGCGUUGAUCAUAUUUUUGCGGAAAUAUGCUAGCCGUUGGUGAGAUACCACUCUUGUAAAGCUAGAAUUCUAACCUUGUAUCGUAAGCAGGUCAAGGGACAGUUUCAGGUGGGCAGUUUGACUGGGCGGUCGCCUCCUAAAAGGUAACGGAGGCGCACAAAGGUUUCCUCAUAUCGGUCAGAAAUCGAUAGUAGAGCGUAAAGGCAUAAGGAAGCUUGACUGCGAGACCUACAAGUCGAGCAGAGACGAAAGUCGGUCUUAGUGAUCUGACGGUUCCGAGUGGAAGGGCCGUCACUCAACGGAUAAAAGUUACUCUAGGGAUAACAGGCUGA